ensembl:lncRNA
UAUUACAAUAUAGAUCUUUAUUUUCUUAAAAAAUAUCAGCUAAAUGAAGAGAAAAUACAUCAGAGAGAUGACAAAUCUGCAUAAACUGAGUAAACAGCAGUGUUAAACCUUUGGCAUUUGUUUCAUCUGGCUGUGUGUAAUCCGGAUGACAGGUAUGCCCUCGUGUGCUUAGGGUGUAAUGUAUCCCCUGGCACUCAAGCAAAAGAAACAAAACUGAUGCAAUUUGUAAAAUGGGAAGAAGUCUUGACUGUUUUGUCUUACCUUUUUCAGAAGCCGGGGCAAGGUCGAUAAAACUUCGACAUUUUUCACCUUUAAAAGAAAACGAUUAUUUUAGGACAUAGAAGGGGAUUGGUUUUGCUCUGCCUCCUCUUUCUGACUGGUGUUUCUGCCACCUGAGUCUCUACAGGACCACAGAGAGAGCAGAAAUUUACCUGUGCCUCCAGCCUGGACCAAAAUCGCAAUGCUCACAAGGCUGGACUCCCCCUGAGGAUUACGGUCCCUUCAUCAAGAGUAUGAAAUACAGUUACUAAAGAAAGAAGUGCUCUCUGAUGGUUGGUCCCUGUGGGGUUAGCGGUGCUCCUUCUCAGGGCCGGGAGCAGUGUUCACUCCAAAUGGAGUGACACAGUGGAAAGCACUGCAAGGGUUUGAGCUGGGAGGGCACUGGCUUCUUUCACCAACACUUUGCCCUCCUCCUUCUUGUUGUCAGCACCAUGCCCGUGCCCCACCAGGGCGUGACCCAGCCUCCCAGUGCCAGGAAGCAUUGCCAUGGGUACAGACAUCUCCAUAGAUAGAUAUGACAUAUGUGACUAGGACAGACAAACCUGGACCACAAAGCACAAAGCAAGAUAAGCAAUUGCAUAGCAUUAAAAAAAAUGUUAAAAAGGCAGGCAAAUGCCUUGCUAUGACCAUCACAGCCCUGAGCUGCUCCCUCUCAUUUGUGGCUGCUGCAUCCAUUUAUCACUGUACAUUAAAUUUUCACUGUUUAGGUCUCCACCUCCGUUUUUGCAGGCAUUCUUGAAAAGCCUAUUGCUUCUGAGCAGGAAAUGUAUCUUAAGGGUGGAUGUUUUGACCUGUCUUUUUACUUCUUCAGGCAGUCAGAGAUUAUAAAGUAAGUCCUCUGCUUUAGGUGCAUCCAUCCACCAAGUGUAUGUGUUUCCUUCAACAUGAUAUGUUCCAAGGUGACCAAUAGCCUGCCUGCCCUGAGGAAUUAUAGCCCAGCAUGCCUGACAGAGGUAAUGGAGAAGAAUCCAUUUUGCCCUUCAAGACUUUAAUUGAUGCAAAGAUAUAGCAGUAGGAUUUUUUAGUAGUUUUGCUCAAUUUUAAUUGCACAGUCAAAAGGCUGAUUUAGGAAAUGUGAGCCAUUAAAAAAGAAUAAACAGUGAAAUGCUGUAGUGAUGUUGAAAUCAGUGUGUAAUUUCUUCUUGGUUGUAAUUAAUUAUAUGUACAAACCAAUAUAAAAUGUUAAUCUUUCUGGUGUCUUUGUUGCCAGGAUUGAGAUAAACAUAACCAUUCAAAUGAUAGCUGUGCUGAAAUAACAAUCUAUUAUUAUAAUGCUAUUACUACCACUUUUUAUUUACUUUUUGCAGUUUUAAUCCUAUGCUAAACAUGCUGAAAAGUGUUGUGUACAUAGUCUGUAGUCUGUUUGUCUAUGUAUGAGUUCCUAUAAAAGAAAAGGUUCACUUGACAUUGAAAUGAACGUUUCAAUAUCUCCAUGGCAGGGGAUAGGACUUCUGCUCUCUGCAUCCAGGCACUGCCAAGAGGGCAGUCAAGAAAAGGAAGUGACACUUGACUUAUCAAAGCACCAUCUGUGUUUCGAAAACAGUAGGUAGGGCAGUCUAUAUCUGAGCAGAAGGAAUGUCAGAUGAGUAAGUUAUUAAGUUUUGGGGCAGACAGGCUGAAAGAUAUCUGAUGGAUGACAGAAACCACAGCAUCACAGCAGCAUUGUGUUGACAGGACCCUGCAGGUCUCCUGUUCAGCCUCCUGUUCAGAGCAGGACUAUUGCUAACACCUGAUCAGGUCAGCUGUGACUUUUCCCAGCCAAAUCUUGAAAUACUUCAAGGAUGAUGAUACCCAUUAUUUAGUGACUCCAACUUCUCUAGCUGUUCUGUCAUCUACGUAGUCAUCCUUUCUUUAUUUGUAGGGACAAGAACAAGCCCAGCUCCCUCAAUGUCUUUGCACAUGUGGUGUACUUGAGGCCCCUGACCAAGAAAUCCAGAGAAAUAGGUGGACUAUAAAAGAUUCUGUGUUGUAAGCAUGAAUCAUUCUCAUCCAGAGACUCCAAGUUUUAGGGCAUGAGGUGUGUCAGGAAUGCAUUGACUUAAAAUCAAGUGAAUACAGGGAGAGUCACCUUUAAAUUUGGACUUGAUAUAAGCAGAUUAAGCACGAUUUUUCAUUCUAGCCAUAUGGAUCUGUGUUUGCAGUUUGGUUUUGUGGUUUGGUUUGGGGUUUUUUUCAGAUGGAAGUUACUACUUUUAUCACAGUUUUAUUUUAACCUGACUUUAAACUAACUG